GAUAUUUCCAUCGCGUUACAUAAUACUCAAUAAAUGUUAUACUUAUAGAUUUGUAGUGUUGUAAUAAGUUUUGAACUGCUGAAGUUUAUCCAGCCCUAAUAUGUAACAACCUUAGAAAAGCAAACUUAUUUGCCUUCGUUUUUAAACCUACUUUCAGCUUUUAUCAGCAGCUACAAUUACGGUACGUACCUAUACUUAAUACGUAGAAUCUAGUCAAUUGUAAUAACAUACACCAUUGAUAGCUUGGUGAUAUUGUCUAGCAAAUAUUAGAAACUGACUGGAAAUCCGGUGCUUUCCAUUUCAAAUGAGCAAAUGGCAAAAGCGAGAAGAUCUUCUUUUAUAUCGUCAAUUAAUGAUAAUUUACUCUCUCUUAUUUUAAAUUAUUAAUAACCAACUCCAGGAACGAAGACGAUGCUGUAUAAAGACUAUACGGAUGUUCAACAGGAAGAAAGAGAGGAUAUCAGCUUCAACUAAUCAAUGAGAAUUGAAGAAUACAGAUUACAGCAACGAGCUUCAUGGUAUUGAUAAGUGAUGAAUACCCUGAAAAAGACACAUAACUCCAUCAUUACCCUUACUCAGCAGGAACGAACAUUUCAACUGACAAAACAAAAUGUGAAACCUUUGUAAACCUUUUUAGGCAGCUGUGAAUAGUAAGUACAAGAAGUGAAAAAUAUUCUUCUCGUUUAAAUUUUUCUACAAACUGCUCAAUAAUUAUUAUUUCAUGAAAUGUGAUCAUUUCGACUUUUACGUUCCGAACACGAAAUGUGGUGUUUACCAAAAACUACAUAAUAACAGAUUUUUGUCACUCGACCAUUCCAGAAUCCAGGAACGAGCCUCAUGAUAUUGAAACGAAGAUCACGCGAAAAGACACAGACCUCCGCCACUGUGAGAUACUGCUGUAACCAGACAUUUUAAGCUUAUAAAUCCAGGAAUGAGCCUCAUGAUAUUGUAACGAAGAUCUUGAGAAAAGACACAGACCUCCGCCA